AAUGGGGGCAACCCUGAUCCAGCCAUGCCGCGUGAGUGAAGAAGGCCUUCGGGUUGUAAAGCUCUUUCGGCCGGGAAGAAAUCGCACGGGCUAAUACCUUGUGUGGAUGACGGUACCGGAAUAAGAAGCACCGGCUAACUACGUGCCAGCAGCCGCGGUAAUACGUAGGGNGCGAGCGUUAAUCGGAAUUACUGGGCGUAAAGCGCACGUAGGCGGCUUGGUAAGUCAGGGGUGAAAUCCCACAGCCCAACUGUGGAACUGCCUUUGAUACUGCCAGGCUUGAGUACCGGAGAGGGUGGCGGAAUUCCAGGUGUAGGAGUGAAAUCCGUAGAUAUCUGGAGGAACACCGGUGGCGAAGGCGGCCACCUGGACGGUAACUGACGCUGAGGUGCGAAAGCGUGGGUAGCAAA
rnacentral:rRNA from 1 species